rnacentral:rRNA from 1 species
CCUACGGGAGGCAGCAGUGGGGAAUAUUGGACAAUGGACCAAAAGUCUGAUCCAGCAAUUCUGUGUGCACGAUGACGUUUUUCGGAAUGUAAAGUGCUUUCAGUUGGGAAGAAAAAAAUGACGGUACCAACAGAAGAAGUGACGGCUAAAUACGUGCCAGCAGCCGCGGUAAUACGUAUGUCACAAGCGUUAUCCGGAUUUAUUGGGCGUAAAGCGCGUCUAGGUGGUUAUGUAAGUCUGAUGUGAAAAUGCAGGGCUCAACUCUGUAUUGCGUUGGAAACUGCAUGACUAGAGUACUGGAGAGGUAAGCGGAACUACAAGUGUAGAGGUGAAAUUCGUAGAUAUUUGUAGGAAUGCCGAUGGGGAAGCCAGCUUACUGGACAGAUACUGACGCUAAAGCGCGAAAGCGUGGGUAGCAAACAGGAUUAGAUACCCCAGUAGUC